UUACAUACCAGAACUAUGUGAACCUGAAUUUCGAUGAUGAUCCUCCUUCGACGUCCCUUGCUAGUUUGUUUGAGGAGAAUGAGCAGGUUGAAAAAUACUUGAGGUUAUUUAUAUGAAUGCUUUCUUCUCGCAAUACUUUUCAGUGGCACUGGAUGUUGAUGACCACCAAGUGUGGUUGAUUCGUGCUAGCAAACUUUUGACAUUCACAGGUAUUGUAUGCAGCAAGGAGCAUUUACAUAGCAUUGCGAGAAGAAAGUUGUAGCUACUGGAUACCAAGAAUGCAUUAGAGGACUCACAUUUGUGUCAGCUAGGA